UAGCGCAGCCUGGUUAGCGCGCCUGCCUUGGGCGCAGGAGGUCGGCCGUUCAAAUCGGNN
rnacentral:tRNA from 1 species